rnacentral:rRNA from 1 species
GAUGAACGCUGGCGGCGUGCCUAAUACAUGCAAGUCGAGCGAACAGACGAGGAGCUUGCUCCUCUGACGUUAGCGGCGGACGGGUGAGUAACACGUGGAUAACCUACCUAUAAGACUGGGAUAACUUCGGGAAACCGGAGCUAAUACCGGAUAAUAUAUUGAACCGCAUGGUUCAAUAGUGAAAGACGGUUUUGCUGUCACUUAUAGAUGGAUCCGCGCCGCAUUAGCUAGUUGGUAAGGUAACGGCUUACCAAGGCAACGAUGCGUAGCCGACCUGAGAGGGUGAGCGCCCACAUGGGAAGGGGACCACGGCCCAACCUCCUAGGGGAGGCACAAGUAGGGAAUCUCCCGCAAGGGGCGAAGGCCGGACGGAGAAGCGCCGGGGGAGUGAGGAAGGUCUCGGGAUCGAAAAACUGUUUUAUGGGGAAAAAAAAAAUGGGAAAGUAACUAGGCCCGUCUGGACGGUACUUAAUAAAAAACCCCCGGCUACCUAGGUG